rnacentral:rRNA from 1 species
GGUUAGUAGGUUGGUCAUGCCUCUGGUAUGUACUGGUCUCACUGAUUCCUCCUUCCUGAUGGACCGUAAUGCCAUUAAUUUGGUGUUGCGGGGAAUUUGGACUGUUACUUUGAAAAAUUAGAGUGUUUAAAGCAAGCUAACGCUUGAAUACAUUAGCAUGGAAUAAUGAAAUAGGACGUUCGAUCCUAUUUUCGUUGGUUUUGUCUAGGAUUGACGUAAUG